ACAUACGGCCGCCGGCGGACGGAUAUUGUUGAUGUCAAUAAAAGAGAUUUAUCUGCCUUAUUU
rnacentral:tRNA from 1 species